rnacentral:rRNA from 1 species
GACGAACGCUGGCGGCGUGCCUAAUACAUGCAAGUUGAGCGCUGAAGGUUGGUACUUGUACCAACUGGAUGAGCAGCGAACGGGUGAGUAACGCGUGGGGAAUCUGCCUUUGAGCGGGGGACAACAUUUGGAAACGAAUGCUAAUACCGCAUAAAAACUUUAAACACAAGUUUUAAGUUUGAAAGAUGCAAUUGCAUCACUCAAAGAUGAUCCCGCGUUGUAUUAGCUAGUUGGUGAGGUAAAGGCUCACCAAGGCGAUGAUACAUAGCCGACCUGAGAGGGUGAUCGGCCACCUUGGGACUGGGACACGGCCCAAACUCCUACGGGAGGCAGCAGUAGGGAAUCUUCGGCAAUGGACGAAAGUCUGACCGAGCAACGCCGCGUGAGUGAGGAAGGUUUUCGGAUCGUAAAACUCUGUUGGUAGAGAAGAACGUUGGUGAGAGUGGAAAGCUCAUCAAGUGACGGUAACUACCCAGAAAGGGACGGCUAACUACGUG